UACGAAGGGGGCUAGCGUUGCUCGGAAUCACUGGGCGUAAAGCGCACGUAGGCGGAUUGCUAAGUCAGGGGUGAAAUCCUGGAGCUCAACUCCAGAACUGCCCUUGAUACUGGCGGUCUCGAGUCCGGGAGAGGUGAGUGGAACUGCGAGUGUAGAGGUGAAAUUCGUAGAUAUUCGCAAGAACACCAGUGGCGAAGGCGGCUCACUGGCCCGGUACUGACGCUGAGGUGCGAAAGCGUGGGGAGCAAACAGGGAU
rnacentral:rRNA from 1 species